rnacentral:rRNA from 2 species
CAUGGACGAAAGUCUGAUGAGCAACGCCGCUGAGGGAAGAAGGGUUUCGGCUCGUAAAACUCUGUGUAAAGAAGAACAUAUCUGAGAGUAACUGUCAGGUAUUGACGGUAUUUAACCAGAAAGCACGGCUAACUACGUGCCAGCAGCCGCGGUAAUACGUAGGUGGCAAGCGUUGUCCGGAUUUAUUGGGCGUAAAGCGAGCGCAGGCGGUUUUUUAAGUCUGAUGUGAAAGCUUUCGGCUCAACCGAAGAAGUGCAUCGGAAACUGGGAAACUUGAGUGCAGAAGAGGACAGUGGAACUCCAUGUGUAGCGGUGAAAUGCGUAGAUAUAUGGAAGAACACCAGUGGCGAAGGCGGCUGUCUGGUCUGUAACUGACGCUGAGGCUCGAAAGUAUGGGUAGCAAACAGGAUUAGAUACCCUGGUAGUCCAUACCGUAAACGAUGAAUGCUAAGUGUUGGAGGGUUUCCGCCCUUCAGUGCUGCAGCUAACGCAUUAAGCAUUCCGCCUGGGGAGUACGGCCGCAAGGCUGAAACUCAAAGGAAUUGACGGGGGCCCGCACAAGCGGUGGAGCAUGUGGUUUAAUUCGAAGCUACGCGAAGAACCUUACCAGGUCUUGACAUACUAUGCAAAUCUAAGAGAUUAGACGUUCCCUUCGGGGACAUGGAUACAGGUGGUGCAUGGUUGUCGUCAGCUCGUGUCGUGAGAUGUUGGGUUAAGUCCCGCAACGAGCGCAACCCUUAUUAUCAGUUGCCAGCAUUAAGUUGGGCACUCUGGUGAGACUGCCGGUGACAAACCGGAGGAAGGUGGGGAUGACGUCAAAUCAUCAUGCCCCUUAUGACCUGGGCUACACACGUGCUACAAUGGAUGGUACAACGAGUUGCGAACUCGCGAGAGUAAGCUAAUCUCUUAAAGCCAUUCUCAGUUCGGAUUGUAGGCUGCAACUCGCCUACAUGAAGUCGGAAUCGCUAGUAAUCGCGGAUCAGCAUGCCGCGGUGAAUACGUUCCCGGGCCUUGUACACACCGCCCGUCACACCAUGAGAGUUUGUAACACCCAAAGUCGGUGGGGUAACCUUUUAGGAACCAGCCGCCUAAGUGACGA